UACGUAGGGUGCAAGCGUUGUCCGGAAUUAUUGGGCGUAAAGAGCGUGUAGGCGGCCCGAUUAGUCCGCUGUGAAAGUCCAGGGCUCAACCCUGGAAUGCCGGUGGAUACUGUCGGGCUAGAGUCCGGAAGGGGCGAGUGGAAUUCCUGGUGUAGCGGUGAAAUGCGCAGAUAUCAGGAAGAACACCCGUGGCGAAAGCGGCUCUCUGGGACGGUACUGACGCUGAGACGCGAAAGCGUGGGGAGCAAACAGG
rnacentral:rRNA from 1 species